GGUGAUUUCCUGAGUAACGGCGAGUGAAAAGGAAUAAGUCCAUCGCAAAGGUAGUCAAGUUUUGUGCUUGACUACGGUGCUGCGUUCUUGUAUUGGCAAUUAUGACAUGGUCUGAUAGGUUUGCAAAUCCCUCUGACAAGGGUUACAAUCCAGAGUCGGUGCUAGGCCGAUAGCGAACUCUUGAAUGACCCUGUUAGCCAAAACAAGACAGAGUUAGUUUGCUUGAGAGUGCAAACUGAAGUAGAAGGUAAACUUCUUCUAAGGCUAAAUAUUGUGGUGAUACCGAUAGCAAACAAGUACCGUGAGGGAAAGUUGCAAAGAACUUUGAAGAGAGAGUUCAAAAGGGCGUGAAACUGUUUGCAGGGAAACGGUUGGAGCCACGAAGUGUAGCUGGGUUAAGAAUUCAGCUUUCACAGUGGAGGUUAACAUUUGUCAGUCAUGGUUCUCUGCCGGAGGAUACUGGCAAGUGUUUACUGCCUCUUACUGGGGAGUGCAUUUUCUUACAACUCGUGCUCGAGCCUCGACCAAUAAAGAAAUCAACAGGCUAAUUUAUGAUCACUAUUGGGGGAGAGAACCAGAGAAGAGAUUUUCUCUUCAGAUCUGGGUAAAUCUUCAAUAGUGUAUAGCACUGUAUAACUUUAUUGGAAAAAGUUUCUCGUAUCACUCAACUAGUUUGGGUGUGUGAGGGUCAACAUAAAGUACAGAAUGCUUGUCUGUUCUCUAGAAUUAUCUUGUGGUUUAUUCCAUUUCCAGUAAAGCUGUGUUCACAUUGUGUUCAGAGAAUACUGGGCAAGAUAAUCUAAAAUGAGGCAGAUAUUGUGUUGUCUGUACUGUUGUAUACAAUCUGAGGUU
rnacentral:rRNA from 2 species